rnacentral:tRNA from 1 species
GCCUUGAUAGCUCAGUCUGGUGGAGCGUUCGACUGUUAAUCGAGAGGUCGCAGGUUCAAAUCCUGCUCAAGGCGCCA